UGCAAGUCUGGUGCCAGCAGCCGCGGUAAUUCCAGCUCCAAUAGCGUAUAUUAAAGUUGUUGCAGUUAAAAAGCUCGUAGUUGAACUUCAGGUCUGGUUGGCUGGUCCGCCUCACGGUGUGUACUGGUCGGCCGGACCUUACCUCUUGGUGAUGCGGCAUGCCGUUUAUUCGGUGUGUCGUGGAACCAGGAUUUUUACUUUGAAAAAAUUAGAGUGUUCAAAGCAGGCCUAUGCCCGAAUACAUUAGCAUGGAAUAAUAGAAUAGGACGUGCGGUUCUAUUUUGUUGGUUUCUAGGAUCGCCGUAAUGAUUAAUAGGGAUAGUUGGGGGCAUUAGUAUUCAGUGGCUAGAGGUGAAAUUCUUGGAUUUACUGAAGACUAACUACUGCGAAAGCAUUUGCCAAA
rnacentral:rRNA from 1 species